CACUGGAUUCUCGUACGGACUA
rnacentral:siRNA from 1 species